rnacentral:rRNA from 1 species
UAGGGAAUCUUCGGCAAUGGACGAAAGUCUGACCGAGCAACGCCGCGUGAGUGAAGAAUGUUUUCGGAUCGUAAAACUCUGUUGUUAGAGAAGAACAAGGACGUUAGUAACUGAACGUCCCCUGACGGUAUCUAACCAGAAAGCCACGGCUAACUACGUGCCAGCAGCCGCGGUAAUACGUAGGUGGCAAGCGUUGUCCGGAUUUAUUGGGCGUAAAGCGAGCGCAGGCGGUUUCUUAAGUCUGAUGUGAAAGCCCCCGGCUCAACCGGGGAGGGUCAUCGGAAACUGGGAGACUUGAGUGCAGAAGAGGAGAGUGGAAUUCCAUGUGUAGCGGUGAAAUGCGUAGAUAUAUGGAGGAACACCAGUGGCGAAGGCGGCUCUCUGGUCUGUAACUGACGCUGAGGCUCGAAAGCGUGGGGAGCAAACAGG